rnacentral:rRNA from 1 species
UUGAACGCUGGCGGCAGGCCUAACACAUGCAAGUCGAACGGUAACAGGAAGCAGCUUGCUGCUUCGCUGACGAGUGGCGGACGGGUGAGUAAUGUCUGGGAAACUGCCUGAUGGAGGGGGAUAACUACUGGAAACGGUAGCUAAUACCGCAUAACGUCGCAAGACCAAAGAGGGGGACCUUCGGGCCUCUUGCCAUCGGAUGUGCCCAGAUGGGAUUAGCUAGUAGGUGGGGUAACGGCUCACCUAGGCGACGAUCCCUAGCUGGUCUGAGAGGAUGACCAGCCACACUGGAACUGAGACACGGUCCAGACUCCUACGGGAGGCAGCAGUGGGGAAUAUUGCACAAUGGGCGCAAGCCUGAUGCAGCCAUGCCGCGUGUAUGAAGAAGGCCUUCGGGUUGUAAAGUACUUUCAGCGGGGAGGAAGGGAGUAAAGUUAAUACCUUUGCUCAUUGACGUUACCCGCAGAAGAAGCACCGGCUAACUCCGUGCCAGCAGCCGCGGUAAUACGGAGGGUGCAAGCGUUAAUCGGAAUUACUGGGCGUAAAGCGCACGCAGGCGGUUUGUUAAGUCAGAUGUGAAAUCCCCGGGCUCAACCUGGGAACUGCAUCUGAUACUGGCAAGCUUGAGUCUCGUAGAGGGGGGUAGAAUUCCAGGUGUAGCGGUGAAAUGCGUAGAGAUCUGGAGGAAUACCGGUGGCGAAGGCGGCCCCCUGGACGAAGACUGACGCUCAGGUGCGAAAGCGUGGGGAGCAAACAGGAUUAGAUACCUUGGUAGUCCACGCCGUAAACGAUGUCGACUUGGAGGUUGUGCCCUUGAGGCGUGGCUUCCGGAGCUAACGCGUUAAGUCGACCGCCUGGGGAGUACGGCCGCAAGGUUAAAACUCAAAUGAAUUGACGGGGGCCCGCACAAGCGGUGGAGCAUGUGGUUUAAUUCGAUGCAACGCGAAGAACCUUACCUGGUCUUGACAUCCACGGAAGUUUUCAGAGAUGAGAAUGUGCCUUCGGGAACCGUGAGACAGGUGCUGCAUGGCUGUCGUCAGCUCGUGUUGUGAAAUGUUGGGUUAAGUCCCGCAACGAGCGCAACCCUUAUCCUUUGUUGCCAGCGGUCCGGCCGGGAACUCAAAGGAGACUGCCAGUGAUAAACUGGAGGAAGGUGGGGAUGACGUCAAGUCAUCAUGGCCCUUACGACCAGGGCUACACACGUGCUACAAUGGCGCAUACAAAGAGAAGCGACCUCGCGAGAGCAAGCGGACCUCAUAAAGUGCGUCGUAGUCCGGAUUGGAGUCUGCAACUCGACUCCAUGAAGUCGGAAUCGCUAGUAAUCGUGGAUCAGAAUGCCACGGUGAAUAUGUUCCCGGGCCUUGUACACACCGCCCGUCACACCAUGGGAGUGGGUUGCAAAAGAAGUAGGUAGCUUAACCUUCGGGAGGGCGCUUACCACUUUGUGAUUCAUGACUGGGGUG